rnacentral:rRNA from 1 species
GGAAGUAAAAGUCGUAACAAGGUUUCCGUAGGUGAACCUGCGGAAGGAUCAUUAUUGAAUUAUGUUUUCUAGAUGGGUUGUAGCUGGCUCUUCGGAGUAUGUGCACGCCUGUCUGGACUUCAUUUUCAUCCACCUGUGCACCUUUUGUAGUCUUUUUCAGGUAUUGGAGGAAGUGGUCAGCCUAUCAGCUCUUUGCUGGAUGUAAGGACUUGCAGUGUGAAAACAGUGCUGUCCUUUACCUUGGCCAUGGAAUCUUUUUCCUGUUAGAGUCUAUGUUAUUCAUUAUACUCUUAGAAUGUCAUUGAAUGUCUUUACAUGGGCUAUGCCUAUGAAAAUUAUUAUACAACUUUCAGCAACGGAUCUCUUGGCUCUCGCAUCGAUGAAGAACGCAGCGAAAUGCGAUAAGUAAUGUGAAUUGCAGAAUUCAGUGAAUCAUCGAAUCUUUGAACGCAUCUUGCGCUCCUUGGUAUUCCGAGGAGCAUGCCUGUUUGAGUGUCAUUAUAUUCUCAACUCUCCAAUACUUUGUUGUAAAGGAGAGCUCGGAUUGUGGAGGUUUGCUGGCCCCUUACUUGGGGUCAGCUCCUCUGAAAUGCAUUAGCGGAACCGUCUGCGAUCUGCCACAAGUGUGAUAACUUAUCUACACUGGCGAGGGGAUUGCUUUCUGAUGUUCAGCUUCUAAUCGUCUAAGGACAAUUUCUUGAAUGCUUGACCUCAAAUCAGGUAGGACUACCCGCUGAACUUAAGCAUAUCAAUAAGCGGAGGA